rnacentral:rRNA from 1 species
UACGAAGGGGGCUAGCGUUGCUCGGAAUCACUGGGCGUAAAGCGCACGUAGGCGGAUUGUUAAGUCAGGGGUGAAAUCCUGGAGCUCAACUCCAGAACUGCCUUUGAUACUGGCGAUCUCGAGUCCGGGAGAGGUGAGUGGAACUGCGAGUGUAGAGGUGAAAUUCGUAGAUAUCCGGAGGAACACCGAAGGCGAAGGCAGUGUCCUGGCGAGUGACUGACGCUGAGGUGCGAAAGCCAGGGGAGCGAACGGG